CAUUUGAAACUGUAUUACUUGAGUGCAGGAGAGGUAAGUGGAAUUCCUAGUGUAGCGGUGAAAUGCGUAGAUAUUAGGAGGAACACCAGUGGCGAAGGCGACUUACUGGACUGUAACUGACGCUGAGUCACGAAAGCGUGGGUAGCAAACAGGAUUAGAUACCCUGGUAGUCCACGCUGUAAACGAUGAGUGCUAGGUGUUGGGUAGCGAUAUUCAGUGCCGAAGUAAACACAAUAAGCACUCCGCCUGGGGAGUACGGUCGCAAGACUGAAACUCAAAGGAAUUGGACGGGGACCCGCACAAGCAGCGGAGCAUGUGGUUUAAUUCGAAGCAACGCGAAGAACCUUACCAAGGCUUGACAUCCCCUUGACCGGCACAGAGAUGUGCCCUCUCCUUCGGGAGCAAGGGUGACAGGUGGUGCAUGGUUGUCGUCAGCUCGUGUCGUGAGAUGUUGGGUUAAGUCCCGCAACGAGCGCAACCCUUAUCCUUAGUUGCCAGCAGGUUAAGCUGGGCACUCUAAGGAGACUGCCGAUGAUAAAUCGGAGGAAGGUGGGGAUGACGUCAAAUCAUCAUGCCCCUUAUGUCUAGGGCUACACACGUGCUACAAUGGUGAGAACAAAGAGACGCAAGACCGCGAGGUGGAGCCAAUCUCACAAAACUCAUCCCAGUUCGGAUUGCAGGCUGAAACUCGCCUGCAUGAAGCCGGAGUUGCUAGUAAUCGCGAAUCAGCAUGUCGCGGUGAAUACGUUCCCGGGCCUUGUACACACCGCCCGUCACACCAUGAGAGUUGGCAAUACCC
rnacentral:rRNA from 1 species